UCUGAGAGAGAAGAUAUUUUGAUGGUGGCUUUGAAGAUGGAGAAAGAGACCAUGAUUGUAAGGAUUCAUCAUGCAAAGAGCAAAGAGAAGUAUACAGGGCAACAUAAAGGAAGAAAACGGGCUUUGACGUUAGAAGACUUGAAGCUGAAUCCUAGAUCCCCAAAUUACCAGCUAUUUAGUUGUUCUCAGUAAAACUUGUGCAUGUCUAAUCCCAUCUUGGAGACCCAAAGUAAUGCAAUGCCUGUCAAGAGGGUACUAUCUGCUGUUUUGAUUUGAAACUG
rnacentral:lncRNA from 1 species